CCCCAGUAACGGCGAGUGAAGCGGCAAUAGCUCAAAUUUGAAAUCUGGCCCCCUCCGGGGCCCGAGUUGUAAUUUGUAGAGGAUGCUUCGGUGUUGGCCCCGGCCCAAGUUCCUUGGAACAGGACGUCGCAGAGGGUGAGAAUCCCGUACGUGGCCGGUGUCCCUCGCCGUGUGAAGCUCCUUCGACGAGUCGAGUUGUUUGGGAAUGCAGCUCUAAAUGGGAGGUAAAUUUCUUCUAAAGCUAAAUACCGGCCAGAGACCGAUAGCGCACAAGUAGAGUGAUCGAAAGAUGAAAAGCACUUUGGAAAGAGAGUUAAAAAGUACGUGAAAUUGUUGAAAGGGAAGCGCUUGCAACCAGACCUGUCCACCGUCGCUCACCCGGGCCUCUCUGCCCGGUGCAUUCUUCGGCGGCCAGGCCAGCAUCGGUUCGGGCGGUCGGACAAAGGCGGCGGGAAUGUGGCUCCCCUCGGGGAGUGUUAUAGCCCGCUGUACAAUGCGGCCAGCCCGGACCGAGGUCCGCGCUCCGGCUAGGAUGCUGGCUUAAUGGUUGUAAGCGGCCCGUCUUGAAACACGGACCGAGGAGUCUAACAUCUGUGCGAGUGUUUGGGUGUCAAGCCCGGACGCGUAAUGAAAGUGAACGGAGGCGGGAACCCUCGGGUGCACCGUCGACCGAUCCUGAUGUCUUCGGAUGGAUUUGAGUAAGAGCAUAGCUGUUGGGACCCGAAAGAUGGUGAACUAUGCCUGAAUAGGGUGAAGCCAGAGGAAACUCUGGUGGAGGCUCGCAGCGGUUCUGACGUGCAAAUCGAUCGUCAAAUUUGGGCAUAGGGGCGAAAGACUAAUCGAACUAUCUAGUAGCUGGUUCCUGCCGAAGUUUCCCUCAGGAUAGCAGUAACGUUUUCAGUUUUAUGAGGUAAAGCGAAUGAUUAGAGGCCUGGGGGUUGAAACAACCUUCACCUAUUCUCAAACUUUAAAUAUGUAAGAAGUCCUUGUUGCUUAGUUGAACGCGG
rnacentral:rRNA from 1 species